UUUUUUGAAAAUUGUCAGUGGGGAAAUUCCAUUUGCUUAAAUUUAUUUCUGGCCCAUUAAAAAUAGAAACAAAAGCUCAAGAACCUCCCAAAGCACUGGGACCUAAAACAGUAGUUUUUAACUUUGUGCAUUGGACUCAUCUGGGGAAACUUUAAAAAUUUUCACGACUAGGCUGCACUCCUAGAGGUUUGGAAUUAAUUGGUGUGGAGCGUGUCCUAGGUAUCUAGAGUUUGAAAGACAUCUCCAGGUGAUGCUAAUGUGCAGCCCAAGGUUGAGACCUUGUCCUAGAAGAUUGUUAGCCAGAGGUAGAGAAAAUGGUAGAAAUGACUGUUGGGCUGGUUAAGUAAGCCAAGUGCUGGACGCCAGCAAGUUCUCCUGCUGGGAUGGUGGUUUUUCUGGUAUGUCUUUGAAAGAUCCUUGCUCCCAAGAUGAGACGCCAGAUGCCUUCAGGAGCUGGUGGAUCCAGCUGUCCUCUCUAGCCUGGAGGUUAAACUUGAGUGGGUGGGUAGGAUCUCUGUCUGGUGUCCCUGGAGUCGGUGUGUUGGGACAUAUUGGCCACAGGCCCAUUCCAAAAUGGGGGUAGAGAGUCAGUUGGGAGCUAAGUGGGUUGUCCCCCUGAAAGCAGCCUCAGAAAUUGUAGCCCCCACUUGCAUAUCUGAGCAGGAAAGGGGCACUGGAUUUGUGAGGUUUGCCUCUGAUCUGUUUUCUGACUGGGUAGAUGAGGGACGCCCCAGCUCCUGCCCUGUCAGUAGCCAAACCAGCAUCCUGGCUCACACCCUGGAGGCUCCAGAGGCUAGUUCACUGGCGAGUCUAAUUCCUGGUCCAUCCAGAUCUUGGUGGUCCAGGGAGGCACAAAUGUGGGCUCUUUGUUCCAAUGAGGGACUUAAUAGCCGGCAAAGGCUUGAAGCAAGGAGGAAUUAAGCCCUCUUUGUGCUGUGUGUGUGUGUUAAUGCAUGAGCAAAUUUAAACCCAAAAACUAACUCUAGAUGUGAUUGGAACAGGGAAAAGUUUUGUGUGGUCACUGUGCCAAGGAAUUGACUUCGAUCACCAGGCAGAUCCAGGGUGACUUCUGUAGGGCUAUGGUGGAUUCUAGAUGGAGGUGAGGAGCCAUUGAGGACUUCAGUGCUGGUAUCCUCCAGUCUUUCCUCCCAGACCCUGGCUCUUUCUUUGGGAACCAGGGCAUCCCCCCUAUGGAGACACUUCAGGCUAGGAAGACUGAGGCCUGUCCUCCCAAGGGGCCUCAAGUUAGAGGGCCAUGUCCUCACCAGGUGAUUUCAAGUACUGAUCUCAGGGACCUCUCAGGUCCCGACAUCCUGCUCUGAGUGUGCAUGUGUGAAUGGAGUGGGCGGCAGGAAGCAGGAGAGGCUGGAACCACGGGCCUGUCCUACUUGCACAGCAGGACAACACUGAAGCUCUUCUGCCAUCCUCUCUGCUGUCCACCUGAGAAAAUAGGCCACUUACUAGGAAGGUUUGUUUCCAAAAACGCAGACCCUGGUGAAGUGUGGUGCCACCGUACUCACCAGGCCCUGGAUUUCCCAUGACCUCGAUGCUCCAACCUUGUAGCUCAUUCUCUUUCCAUUGUGACUGGAAAGUAGGGACAUCUGCCCCAGAGCCACCAGUGGGGAUGGCAUCCCGGGCCACCUCUCCUGCAGGAGUGGGUGCUGUUGUCAUUGGGGUGCCUGGCCUCCUGCUGGGACCGAUCUGCUUUGCUGUGCUGCAUAGGCCAUGUUUUUGUCUGCAUGGUUUGGGGUCUUUGUGCCUUUUCUUCCCUUUCACCACUGUACAGGAUUUUCCACAUUGCCCACUGCCCCCUUUUCUACAUCUCAUCUACGCUGGCCUUUCCCAAGCCCUAUAAAUGUGUACAAACAGUGUCCUACUUUGUAUCCACGUGCCUCCACGUGAGACCUCCCAGGCCAGGCCUCCCGGGCACACGUAUCCACAAGGAUCAGGCCCUGCUUCCCUCCGCUCACUCAGCUUUGUAGAUUUGGUAACUGUGUACAGAAUCUUUAUUGUCUUAAGUGUCAGGGGGCUAGGACCCACUUAGUCCCUUAUCUAGCCUGCAGCUAGUUUAGAAGCCUUGCAUCCCAGCAAAGGGUAACUUUGUGUAAAGCUACUUCUCCCACAAACCUCUUCCUGUGUUGAUGUCAGUGUUCGGCUGAGGGAACCUUUUAACCUGGGUUGUCUCAGUCUGCAGCAGAUACGUGCACCCCUGCUGCCCCUACAGGAGGCCCUGGCUGUGUGGCUCCCAGUGCUUGGCAAUGGGCCUGGGUUUAAGGCCACCACAUCUGGUGUCUAGAACAGCUGUGGACCCCCAACUAGGCAGAUGGAAGAGGCUUUUUGCUACUUUCCCUGCCUGCUAUUAACACCUGCCCAGCUCUUCCAUGUCUCCACGUCUGCUGAAGGUGCUCAGACCAGAGUGCCAUUAAAUACCCAACUGGUGUCAGGACCUCAAUGGGACAGUGCGUUGCCAAGGCCUUGCUCGCAGCCUGUUGGCUCCCUUCCUUCUAGCUCUUCCCCUUUCUUGGCUGGGUCUUCUGGGGCUCAGGUGGAAUGAACUGCAUGUGUGGCCUUGUGCCCAAGGGUUUGUUGGAUGGCUUUUAACUCUAGGUGGGAUUCAACUUGAGCUUUUUACCCCAGGAGCCUGUCUGGAAACAGGCUUAGGUUUAGAGCUGGGGUGGGACCUCCAUUUGCAGGCCCCAGAGGGGAGAGCGUCAGGUGAGGCCCCAAGGCUGCGUCCCAGGCCCUGGAUCUUCACCUCCAGCCUGCUUCCAACUGGAAAGGACCAGGCUCUGGGUGGCAGGCUCCUUUCAGGGCACUGUAAUGUACACACCAAGGUGUAAAUAAACAGUUUGCUCUUCUUGCCUGA